UACGAUUGUUGUUGUUAAAAAAAAAAAAAAGAGAGAGAGAAGAAUAGAUUUUUAUCAUAUCUCAAUUUAAAACAGGAAACCUAGCCCUUCCCUCAGCCUUAUGGCCGCGGUACGGCGAUUGUAAGCAGGCAGCAUCCAAUGGAAUGGAAUAAAGAGCAUAUGGAGAUAUAUUCCAUGAAUCACAGCCGGGAUUUUAUCUUGAUAAAAACU